GGAAAGCGUCAAACAGUGGAGAGCCCUGUUUACGCUGAGGUGAAGACAGGAUCUGCUGCAGAUGACGGUCUAACGUAUGCUCAGGUUAACCAUGACGUUAAAGGCAAAGCCAAGAAACACAAAGGAAAAUCAGCUCCUGCAGCAACUGAUGAAGCUGUUUAUUCUGAAGUUAAACCAGGAACAGCUCAUGGUGUGUAAAGACAGCUGUGUGGACAAGGCCAAAUAAAUAUGGUUAACAGCAUUUUAUAACCAUUGUGUGCAUCUCUGCUAUCCAAAUAUCAGCCAUGCUCAAUGCUUCGUACAGUUAAUAUAAUAAGAUUAUAUGAAAUAAAUACAUCAUGUGGAUUUAAUACUUUGUUUUUUAGCAGAAAGCACAAAACUA